GCUAGGAUACUUAUGGAAUGAAAACCCAGAGGGAGGCGUCAGCUCGUUUUCUCACUUGGCAUGGUAGACCUCUGCUUCUCUGUAGUCCUGCUUCCAAGCAGUUUCUCUGACCUCCUUGUUUUUCUCCCCCUGCCUUGCACAUCACCCUUCGCUGAUGGAAGUUGUGGAACCUUUCUGGUCUCCGUUUUCACUUGUGUCAUGUUCAGAGGAGUUUGGGAACUCCAGCCUCAACACUUCAGCCCUGAGCCUCCUUUCUGUUUCCAACUCCAAGCCCAACUUCUCAGGAGCCACCUGAGAAUCACCCAUCAACCUGCCUGUCCACCCUCCAACGUUAAAACCCUCCAACCAUAGUGGAGUUUCCUGGAAGAGAAGAAACAAAGCACUUCUCCGAAAACUGUUCACAGCCUGUCAGCCUCAAGCCACCAUGGAGAAGGACUUGCCAAGAACCCCACCCCUAGAGACCCCGCGUUCCUCCGCCAGCUGCAGUCCUGGUUCCAGUCCAACCUUUAUUCGCGUUUCUAAAUAAACUGUUAAAAUAC